CAUUAGAAACUAAAUAUAACCUGUAUAACCUCUAGAAUAUGGCUAGAGGGUCUCUACCAGGAACCAUAAAAUCCUGAUUACAGAAAAUGAAUUAUUCGUU
rfam:Bacillus sporothermodurans strain B4102 NODE_56, whole genome shotgun sequence.